UACGUAGGUGGCAAGCGUUGUCCGGAAUUAUUGGGCGUAAAGCGCGCGCAGGCGGUUAUGUAAGUCUGAUGUUAAAGCCCGGGGCUCAACCUCGGUCCGCAUUGGAAACUGUGUAACUUGAGUGCAGAAGAGGAAAGUGGUAUUCCACGUGUAGCGGUGAAAUGCGUAGAGAUGUGGAGGAACACCAGUGGCGAAGGCGACUUUCUGGUCUGUAACUGACGCUGAGGCGCGAAAGCGUGGGGAGCAAACAGG
rnacentral:rRNA from 1 species